rnacentral:lncRNA from 1 species
GGGAAGUUAGGGGAGGUUUCCCUGAUCUGCAGGAAUCAGCGUGGACGGCAGAGCCUCCCUGACAGGAGAGGGAAUAGUUAUGGAAGGACCUGAGAUGAGUGGAGGCGAGUGUGGAGAGGCUAUGCAGGCCCAGACUCUGGGACCCCGUAGGCCAUGGGAAGAACUUCGAUCUUCAGUCCAGGAGCCCUGGGAACGGAAUAUUCUGAAAGAAUCCACCAAAUGUGCCUUAGAACAGGUUGACUUAGGUGAUGUAGUCGAUAUAAAGAAACCAGUGCAGCCCCUCAGCUCUUCAGGCAUGCCGUGCUGUCCCAUCCCCAGGAAAGUGAUGCAGUGAAGCAGUAAUGAACUAUGUCAGAAUUUUCUCCAGCUACAUCCAUCUUUCUAACUGGCAACAGGGUUUUUGCAUUUGUCUUUCUUCUGUCUGAAAUUCUAUGUCCCAGAUUAUUCCAAGCAUUCUGAUCUCAGCUUAAGUGUGACAUCGGGGCCAAUGUGCCUGAGUUGACUCAGUCAAUCUCUAUCAUAUCCCCUUGGCUUAUUUUCUUCGUGACCCUUUUCACUACAG